GUAGUACUCCCUCCGUCCGAAAAUACUUGUCAUCAAAAUGCAAAAAGGGAUGUAUCUAAAACUAAAAUACAUCUAGAUACAUUCCCUUUUAUUCAUUUUGAUGACAAGUAUUUCCGGACGGAGGGAGUACUCA
rfam:Triticum aestivum genome assembly, contig: Triticum_aestivum_CS42_TGACv1_scaffold_222825_3B